AUGAUGCAGGCCACCGUUGCCUUGUCGGCCGUGCUGACUGUCGCCGUAAGGGGCAGGCCGGCGGCGAGGAGGAGGAGCGCCACCGUGGCCGCCGGCGGCAGAAGGAUGCCGGGCGGUGCCGUUCGUGCAUCGGCCGCCGCGGCGCCGGAGGCGGACUACAGCUCCAGCGUCUCGGUGUUCCCCAUGGAGGCCUGCGACCUGGUCGGCGGCGAGGCCUGCGACGCGCAGAUGUACCCGGAGGUGGAGAGGGAGUACCUAUCCUACGACGAGCCAAAAACGGUGUUCCCGGACGAGGCGUGCGACGAUCUCGGCGGCGAGUUCUGCGAGGCGCCCUACCAAACCAGCAAGUAA
rnacentral:rRNA from 1 species